rnacentral:rRNA from 1 species
AUUGAACGCUGGCGGCAGGCCUAACACAUGCAAGUCGAGCGAGCGGCGGACGGGUGAGUAAUACCUAGGAAUCUGCCUGGUAGUGGGGGAUAACGUUCGGAAACGGACGCUAAUACCGCAUACCAUCGGAUGUGCCCAGAUGGGAUUAGCUAGUAGGUGGGGUAAUGGCUCACCUAGGCGACGAUCCCUAGCUGGUCUGAGAGGAUGACCAGCCACACUGGAACUGAUACACGGUCCAGACUCCUACGGGAGGCAGCAGGUGGGAAUAUUGCACAAUGGGCGCAAGCCUGAUGCAGCCAUGCCGCGUGUAUGAAGAAGGCCUUCGGGUUGUAAAGUACUUUCAGCGAGGAGGCGUUACUCGCAGAAGAAGCACCGGCUAACUCCGUGCCAGCAGCCGCGGUAAUUC